rnacentral:tRNA from 1 species
GGGAAGGUGGCUCAAUGGUAAAGUGCCUGCCUUGCAUGCAUGAGGCCUUGGGUUUGAUUCCUCAGCUUCACA